UAGGGAAUCUUCCACAAUGGGCGAAAGCCUGAUGAAGCAACGCCGCGUGUGUGAUGAAGGGUUUCGGCUCGUAAACACUGUUGUAAGAGAAGAAUGACAUUGAGAGUAACUGUUCAAUGUGUGACGGUAUCUUACCAGAAAGGAACGGCUAAAUACGUGCCAG
rnacentral:rRNA from 1 species